CUACGGGAUGCUGCAGUGAGGAAUAUUGCACAAUGGGGGGAACCCUGAUGCGGCAACGCCGCGUGGAGGAUGACGCAUUUCGGUGUGUAAACUCCUUUUAUAUGUCAAGAAAAUGACGGUAGCAUAUGAAUAAGCACCGGCUAACUCCGUGCCAGCAGCCGCGGUAAUACGGAGGGUGCAAGCGUUACUCGGAAUCACUGGGCGUAAAGGACGCGUAGGCGGGUUGGAAAGUCAGGUGUGAAAUCCUACAGCUUAACUGUAGAACUGCACUUGAAACUUCUAAUCUAGAGUAUGGGAGGGGGAGAUGGAAUUAGUGGUGUAGGGGUAAAAUCCGUAGAUAUCGCUAGGAAUACCUAAAGCGAAGGCGAUCUCCUGGAACAUUACUGACGCUAAGGCGUGAAAGCGUGGGGAGCAAACAGGAUUAGAUACCCUCGUAGUC
rnacentral:rRNA from 1 species